rnacentral:rRNA from 1 species
UGGUACCGUCAAACUAUACAAGUAUUAUUCAUAUAGCACUUCUUUCCAUCUGACAGGAUUUUACGACCCGAAGGCCUUCAUCAUCCACGCGGCGUCGCUGCGUCAGGGUUGCCCCCAUUGCGCAAUAUUCCUC